AAAAGCAUCACCUGAGGAUCUUGCUAAAAUGCAGAUUCUGAUUUGGUGGGGCUUGAAAUUCUGCUUUUCUAACUGAGUGCUGCUGAU
rnacentral:miRNA from 1 species